rnacentral:rRNA from 1 species
GGCCUUUUGUAUAAAAAAGAUAAAAGGUCUGGCCUGCCCGGUGAGGGAAACCUUAAACGGUCGCAGCUUCCACUGUGCGAAGGUAGCGCGAUAGGUCGCUCUUUAAUUGGGAGAGAGUAUGAAUGGUCGGAUGUUGGAAAGACUUUAUUAAAGAUAAAAAUUGAAAUUUACUUUUUAGUGCAAAGGCUAAAAUUCAUAUAUUAGACGAGAAGACCCUGUUGAGCUUACUAAUUCAAGGUCACUUUGUCUUUGGAUAAUUUUUUUCGGGGCUGAAAGGGAGGGAUUUGUAAUGCCUUCCUGAAUACUAUAAGGAUCCAACAUGGUUGAUAAGAAGAAGAUAGCUACCACAGGGAUAACAGCGCAAUCUUCUUGAUAAGGCCAUAUUUAAGGGAAGGGUUGCGACCUCGAUGUUGAAUCAGGGUUUCUACUAGGUGUAGCAGCUUAGUAAGUAGGACUGUUCGUCCUUUAAAACUCUACG